rnacentral:tRNA from 1 species
AAGGACUUAAGUUAAAUAAACUUAUAGCCUUCAAAGCUAUGCAUAAGGGAACCAACCUUUAGGCCUUG